rnacentral:rRNA from 1 species
AUUGAACGCUGGCGGCAGGCUUAACACAUGCAAGUCGAACGAGUGGCGGACGGGUGAGUAAUGUCUGGGAAACUGCCUGAUGGAGGGGGAUAACUACUGGAAACGGUAGCUAAUACCGCAUACCAUCGGAUGUGCCCAGAUGGGAUUAGCUAGUAGGUGGGGUAAUGGCUCACCUAGGCGAUGAUCCCUAGCUGGUCUGAGAGGAUGACCAGCCACACUGGAACGGAGACACGGUCCAUACGCCGACGGGAGGCAGCAGUGGGGAAUAUUGCACAAUGGGCGCAAGCCUGAUGAAGCCAUGCCGCGUGUGUGAAGAAGGCCUUCGGGUUGUAAAGCACUUUCAGCGAGGAGGCGUUACUCGCAGAAGAAGCACCGGCUAACUCCGUGCCAGCCGCCGCGGUAAUUC